UCCUAUGUUACUGAUUCACUGUUCUUUCGGUGCUUUUUGUUGUUGUUAAUCAUUGUGAUGAGCUUUGUUAAAAUUUGCACUACCUAUAUUACUGAGUGUUCCUUCGGUGCUUUUUGUUGUUGUUAAUCAUUGUGGUGAACUUUGUUAAAAUUUGCACUGCCUAUGUUUAACAUUUAAACUCUCAGCUUUUCAGCCCUGUUUGAUUCUUCAUCUCAGGCAAUUGAAUCGAAUCAACCAGGCCUUCCUUUUCUUUUUCUUUUAGUUGAUUCUUAAUUUUUCUAAUAUAUGUAACUUUCUGAAUCAAGUGGAUCAGAUUAUGUAGUUUUCUUGAUUUGGGAUAUUUUCGAAGACGCAUUAGAAGAGCUAUUUUAUUAUUAUGUUUGCUAUAAUAAUAUUCACAUGUUCUGUAUGCUUGUGAUUGUUUCGGUGUUUACAUUUUCUUUCCAAGUCACUUGCAGUGGUUGUUCUCUGAGUUAAGGCUUUGUAUGUGUGUGAGAAUAUGUGAUAAUGUUGAAUGCUGUUGCAUCUAAUAGGAGUUCUUGGAGUACCCUCAUCUUUGGUCCUUUAUAAUUUAUUUAUUAUUUUAUUCUAAAACGGUUUUUUCGGUUGACCACCGGUUGGACCGGUUAGACCAAUAAACCAGUGAACCAGUGACUAAAGCGGUUUGAUGACCGGUCCGGUUUUCAGAACCUUGGUUUUUGUGUUCAAUCAAAAUUUUUCUUUGAGAACUUAGCUUUGCUAUGCUUGAUAAAUUGUGCCAAUUAUGCAUUUAUUGAAAUUGGUAUGCCUCUGUAGAUUCUAAAUAGUGUGUGUCAUGUUUCUGAUUUUGAUAAUUUGAGUAGUUUAUGAAGCAUAGUUCACUGUUAUUGCAAAUGAUUUGGGACUGCUUUUGAGGAGUGUAUGAAGUAGAUUACUUGCUGUGUUUGGAGUUGUGUAUUAAUUAAAUUGGUUAAUUUGUUAUUUGAGCCAUGUUACAGCUUGUUAAAUAAAGUUUAAAGCUUCAAUAUCCAUUUAUUAGUUGGCAAUGUUAAUAUUAUUAAUAAUAUUAAUAAUAAUACUAAUCACAAAGUGGAGAGGGAUUGUAGAAUUUGUCACAUAGGUUUGGAGAGUGAUAGUUCUGAGUCUGGUGUUCCAAUUGAAUUGGGUUGUACUUGUAAAGAUGAUUUUGUUGCUGCUCACAAAGUAUGUGCUGAGACAUGGUUUAAGAUUAAGGAGAAUUUGAGUAUAAAUCCCAUCUUUACUUUAUUCUGUUUAACUGCAAAAUUUGGUUUUUGAUAUUUUUUAAUGCUGAAUUUGAUUGAUUCUAUGGAUAUUUUAGACACCCUUUUGUUUAUGAUUCAUGGAAUUGAGAAUUGGAUUGUUUGAUACUGCUCUAUAUGUAUACUUGUUCUAUGUCUCGGUACUGAGUUUGACAAAUAUUCUCAAUUACUUACAGCUAUGGUUUCCUUCUUGGAUGGGAUUUUAUUUUUCCAAAAGAAAUCAUAGAGAAUUAGGGUUGUGAAUUGUUUAAAAAA